rnacentral:rRNA from 1 species
UACGUAGGGGGCAAGCGUUGUCCGGAAUUACUGGGCGUAAAGCGCAUGUAGGCGGAGGGGUGUGUCGAACGUGAAAGGCUGCGGCUCAACCGCAGAGCGCCGUUCGAAACUGCCUUUCUUGAGGGCCGAAGAGGAGAGUGGAAUUCCCGGUGUAGCGGUGAAAUGCGUAGAGAUCGGGAGGAACACCCAUGGCGAAGGCAGCUCUCUGGUCGGUCUCUGACGCUGAGAUGCGAAAGCGUGGGGAGCAAACAGG